rnacentral:sRNA from 1 species
GCUGGGUAUGGGGGUGAAUGCCUGUAAUCUCAGCUACUUGGGAGGCUGAGGCAGGAGGAUUAUAAAUUCAAGGUCAGCCUUGGAAAUCUAGUGAGACCCUGUUUCUA